UAUUCCGAUAAAGAAUAUUCCAAAAUUAUAAUAAAAUAAUUAUGAUUAUCGAUUUUUUUCAAAAAGCUGAAAAUUAAAUUCAUAAAUGGUAAAAUCCUUUACGUACACACUUGUAUAAAAUUUGAAAAAUAAUAUUUUCUAAUUAUUGAUUGAAUGUAUUCAAACAAUUAAUCACAAGUAACUAUCUAAAUUGGUGACAUUUGGCAACAGUGAGUAGACCUGGUUUAUUUUGAUGUAUAAAAUAACCUUAUAAACAAACAGUUGUUUAUUUAGAGUUAUUUAUUAUUGUUUUCUGAUAUUUUGCAAUUGUUAAGUUGGUUUACUUCGAAUUUAAUAUGCAUUACUGUGGUAUUUCUCCAGUUUUCUAAGAAGGUUGGUGAUUUUGAAUUGGGAUUAUGAUGAAUUUAACCCAAAGGCAAUGUGUGUUUAUUUAUGUGGCAAAAUUCCAGGCACCAUAAAAAUUUGCGUUUCUUCCUGUUGCCCAUGGAUGAAAAUCGGUUUGCAGAAUGAAAAGAAAUUGUUCAAUGUGAUAAACUUUCUAUGAACAGUCCUCAAUAUUGUUACAUUAACUUUUAAAUAUGCACUUUACAUCUUGAGGAGCAGGCCUUUGCAGAAAUACUGAAAAGCGGGUUGCAAAACAAUGCAAAAUAAAAUAAAUGAAAUAUGUCUUGAGAUUAAACAUUCAAGUUAAAGGUGUGUUCUUUCUUAAACUGGAAUGAUAAUUUUGUAAUUCUGUAGGCACAUCUAUUGAGAAGUUACAACCAGUGGCAAAGUGCCUUAAGGGAAUCUAUGACAUAUAUAAUUGAAGGGACAUCUCCUCUGAAGGAAUUACAAUUAUUUGCCAGUAUGUCAAAUGAAUUUUCAACAUCAGUCAUACUUUCAUAAAUUUAUUGAUGAAAAUAAAACUAGGUACAUGAUUUAUUAUUUACUUCCAAGGGAUUCUAAGAUACUAUGUGUAAAAAGUCCAAUAUGCAGUGAUGAGCAUGCUAAUAACUGGCAAAAUAUGGGAUAUAACGCCAAAGAUGGGAAACAUGGGAUGCAUUCUGAAGUAAAAAGAGAUGAAACUGAGAGAGAUUAUCAAUAUAAACAUAUAAAUUAACAUUACAUUACAUAGUUUCCCAGCUUUAGACAUAUCAGAUGAGUAUGAGAACUGUCAUUGUGCCAGGAGAAUUUUAUAAAAUACUCCUGUCACAGAGAUCUAAAGGUGGGAAACUAUGUAAUGUUAUUGUCGGCUAAGAGUGUUAACCUGCUAACUCCAUUUUUCACUGUGAGUGAUAUUGGGGUAGUUUCUAGGUCUGUGUACCUUCAUACCAUGUCCCACAAGCCCGCUGGUUCCACUGUAGUUUAGAGAUAGCUAUUUCUAAACUACAUUGGUGUCGGCGGGUUUGUGGGGUGGUGUAUGAAAAUACACGGACCCAGAAACUAGCCCAAUAUCACUCAAAGUGAAAAAUGGAGUUAGCAGGUUAAAACUCUUAUCCAAGGUUAUGUUAAUUUAUUCGUUUGUAACGAUAAGUUCCACUUCUACCAGUUUCAUCUCUUUUUAUCUCACAAGUUAAUAUGUUUUCCAUCUGUUGCGUUAUUUUGCCGGUUAUUAGUGUGAGUGCUCAUUAUUGUAUAUUUACGAUUCUGUGAUUUCUCAAUAUGAUGCUGAGUAGGUAUAUAGUAGGUAUCUACAACCCUUUCAAAACAGAAAUUUAUAAGUUCAUUUUAUGUACCUAUUAAACUUUAUUUUAAGGAUGAAUUUGAAAUGCUUGUAGGGAAUAUAUCUGUAAAAAAUAAAAUUGGUAUUGUAAAAUUGAAAUUCUCAAAAUAUAAUUUAUAAUUCAAAUGUAUUAUU
rnacentral:lncRNA from 1 species